AUUUUAUUAUUUGCAGACACUUCUUCAACUAAUUUCUCCUGAAGCAGAUAUGGCAGGCUAGUUCAUCCUAGAUAAACCACUAAGCUUAGAUUACACCGACAUCCAAGCAUGGAUAGCAGUCAAGCCAACGAGACUAUCCAAAGGGGUGGUUUUAGCAGCACAACUGGUUGCUAUGGAAAAGACAAAAAUGCCUCUUGUGGUACUGAAAUAGGUACCAUUUACGAAGGAUGCGAGAUAAACGUGGCAGUUAUUAUUGUAGUAAUUCUUAUAAUCGUGGGUUGGUUCAUUGGAUACCUCUUCCUUCAGAAAGUGGAAGAUAGAAAAGAGGAGGGGAAUAGUUCGACAUCGCAGAAAAGACGGACAUUUAAAAUCCCAUAACAUGUCAAACUGAUCAGCUUUUAGUGACAGUGAUUCAGUUUUGGAUUUCACUUCACUUCGUCGAGGAUGGAACCGUGGAUAGUUUAGAUUAGGUAAAGCGACAGAUAUCUUGGUAUAGGUUAUAAUGUCAGGUUAUUUGAACCACACCUUGCACAAAGUUUAAAAGUAUUCCAAUCGUUUUAAGUUAACUGACGGACAGAAAUAUCCCUAAACGUUAUUAACUAAACUACACCGCUGUUAAUCAUAUUUCAUUUUGGCUGGCCGGUUUAAUUCCUAACCAGUAAGCUCUACUACAUGUAACUAUGAUGGAAGUAAACAUGUUGAAUGUUUAGAGAGAACACGCGGACAAGAAAACCGUUUUUGUGAAAAUAGAAACAAAAGUUUGAAUUGUCUGAAAGUAGCAUUGAAAUAUGGUGCGCUUUUAUACUAUUGUGAGAGGAGGUAUACAAUAUAGAGAGAGUAUGUUUACGAACAAUACAAUAGAUCUGAAACAUGUCAAA